CGCUCCUGCCAGGAUUUGAACCUGGGAAAACUUCUGAUUGGUGAUCAGAGGCAUUAACCGUUGCGUCACGAC